rnacentral:rRNA from 1 species
GACGAACGCUGGCGGCGUGCUUAACACAUGCAAGUCGAACGGAAAGGCCUCUUUCGGGGGGUACUCGAGUGGCGAACGGGUGAGUAACACGUGAGUAACCUGCCCUUGACUUUGGGAUAACUUCAGGAAACUGGGGCUAAUACCGGAUAGGAGCUCCUGCUGCAUGGUGGGGGUUGGAAAGUUUCGGCGGUUGGGGAUGGACUCGCGGCUUAUCAGCUUGUUGGUGGGGUAGUGGCUUACCAAGGCUUUGACGGGUAGCCGGCCUGAGAGGGUGACCGGCCACAUUGGGACUGAGGUACGGCCCAGACUCCUACGGGAGGCAGCAGGGGGGAAUAUUGCACAAUGGGUGGAAGCCUGAUGCAGCAACGCCGUGGGCGGGAUGACGGCCUUCGGGUUGUAAACCGCUUUCGCUCAUGACGAAGCUUUGUGUGACGGUAGUGGGUAAAGAAGCACCGGCUAACUACGUG